rnacentral:rRNA from 1 species
CCUACGGGAGGCAGCAGUGGGGAAUAUUGGACAAUGGGCGAAAGCCUGAUCCAGCAAUGCCGCGUGAGUGAUGAAGGCCUUAGGGUUGUAAAGCUCUUUUACCAGGGAUGAUAAUGACAGUACCUGGAGAAUAAGCUCCGGCUAACUCCGUGCCAGCAGCCGCGGUAAUACGGAGGGAGCUAGCGUUGUUCGGAAUUACUGGGCGUAAAGCGUACGUAGGCGGUUAUUCAAGUCAGAGGUGAAAGCCCGGGGCUCAACCCCGGAACUGCCUUUGAAACUAGAUAGCUAGAAUCUUGGAGAGGUUAGUGGAAUUCCGAGUGUAGAGGUGAAAUUCGUAGAUAUUCGGAAGAACACCAGUGGCGAAGGCGACUAACUGGACAAGUAUUGACGCUGAGGUACGAAAGCGUGGGGAGCAAACAGGAUUAGAUACCCUGGUAGUCCACGCCGUAAACGAUGAUAACUAGUUGUUCGGGCACUUGGUGCCUGAGUGACGCAGCUAACGCAUUAAGUUAUCCGCCUGGGGAUACGGUCGCAAGNUUAAAACUCAAAGGAAUUGACGGCUGAGAGUUGCGAGACGACGACGAGGAGAGG